rnacentral:rRNA from 1 species
ACGGGAGGCAGCAGUGGGGAAUAUUGGGCAAUGGGGGGAACCCUGAUGCAGCAACGCCACGUGUGGGAAGAAGCAUUUCGGUGUGUAAACCAUUGUCGUGAGGGAAUAAUGCUUGAUUUCGGUCAAGUUGAAUGUACCUCGAAAGGAAGCACCGGCAAACUUCGUGCCAGCAGCCGCGGUAAUACGAGGGGUGCAAGCGUUGUUCGGAAUCACUGGGCGUAAAGGGAGCGUAGGCGGAGACGCAAGCAGUCUGUACAAUACCGGGGCCCAACCCCGGACCUGCAGACUGGACUGUGUCUCUUGGAUAGUUCAGGGGCAGGCGGAAUUCCUGGUGUAGCGGUGGAAUGCGUAGAGAUCAGGAAGAACACCGAUGGCGAAGGCAGCCUGCUGGGGACUCAUCGACGCUGAGGCUCGAAAGUGCGGGCAGCAAACAGGAUUAGAUACCCUGGUA